CGUUCACGUAGAGGUUUUACGUAGUACCUUCGGCUCAGGAUGAACGCUAGCGGCACGGCUUAACACAUGCAAGUCGAGGGCGAUCGGGAGGAAGCUUGCUUCCUUGCCGCGACCGGCGCACGGGUGAGUAACACGUACUGCAACCUGCCCUCUUCAGGGGGACAACCUUCCGAAAGGGAGGCUAAUCCCGCGUAUAUCGGUUUCGGGCAUCCGAGAUCGAGGAAAGAUUCAUCGGAAGAGGAUGGGCAUGCGGCGCAUUAGCUUGACGCGGGGUAACGGCCCACCGUGGCGACGAUGCGUAGGGGUUCUGAGAGGAAGGUCCCCCACACUGGUACUGAGACACGGACCAGACUCCUACGGGAGGCAGCAGUGAGGAAUAUUGGUCAAUGGGAGAGAUCCUGAACCAGCCAAGCCGCGUGAGGGAAGGCGGCCCUAUGGGUUGUAAACCUCUUUUGUCGGAGAACAAAACCCGGGACGUGUCCCGGACUGUGUGUAUCCGAAGAAAAAGCAUCGGCUAACUCCGUG
rnacentral:rRNA from 1 species